UUUAANAGACCGCUGGCGGCAGGCCUAACACAUGCAAGUCGAGCGGCAGCACGGGGAGCUUGCUCCCUGGUGGCGAGCGGCGGACGGGUGAGUAAUGCAUAGGAAUCUGCCCGGUAGUGGGGGAUAACCUGGGGAAACCCGCAGGGGAUCUUCGGACCUUGCGCUAUCGGAUGAGCCUAUGUCGGAUUAGCUGGUUGGUGAGGUAAUGGCUCACCAAGGCGACGAUCCGUAGCUGGUCUGAGAGGAUGAUCAGCCACACUGGGACUGA
rnacentral:rRNA from 1 species